AUUGAACGCUGGCGGCAGGCCUAACACAUGCAAGUCGAACGGUAGCGCAGAGAGCUUGCUCUCGGGUGACGAGUGGCGGACGGGUGAGUAAUGUCUGGGAAACUGCCCGAUGGAGGGGGAUAACUACUGGAAACGGUAGCUAAUACCGCAUAACGUCGCAAGACCAAAGUGGGGGACCUUCGGGCCUCACACCAUCGGAUGUGCCCAGAUGGGAUUAGCUAGUAGGUGGGGUAAUGGCUCACCUAGGCGACGAUCCCUAGCUGGUCUGAGAGGAGGACCAGCCACACUGGAACUGAGACACGGGCCAGACUCCUACGGGAGGCAGCAGUGGGGAAUAUUGCACAAUGGGCGCAAGCCUGAUGCAGCCAUGCCGCGUGUAUGAAGAAGGCCUUCGGGUUGUAAAGUACUUUCAGCGGGGAGGAAGGCGGUGAAGUUAAUAGCUUCACCGAUUGACGUUACCCGCAGAAGAAGCACCGGCUAACUCCGUGCCAGCAGCCGCGGUAA
rnacentral:rRNA from 1 species